rnacentral:tRNA from 1 species
AAUAAAUAAAGUGCCUGAUAAAAGGGUUAAAUUGUAAAUUUAGUUAUAAGAUUAUUCUUCUUUAUUA